GAUAAAGAAGAGGCAACAAGAUGUGGUGAGGUUUCUUGAAGCCAAUCGCAUAGAGUUUGAAGAAGUGGAUAUCACAAUGUCAGAGGAGAAAAGACAAUGGAUGUAUAAAAAUAUUCCUGAGGACAGGCAGCCCGCGCAGGGCAAUCCACUGCCACCACAGAUAUUCAGUGAUGAUCGGUACUGUGGAGAUUACGAUGGCUUUUUUGAAUCAAAGGAGAGCAACACUGUCUUCUCCUUUCUUGGACUGAAACCUACUUUGGCAUCAAAGGAGUCGGAACCCUAGAAAGCCUAUCUGAAGAAUCGACAAGCACAUCUCCUGAAUGAAUGACCCUGUUCUUCAGCACACAACAGCUUCCCUAAUGGAUCACUGUGAUAGACCAAACAUGCAUCAUUAGUUGUAGUCUGCUUGCCAUGAGACGGUGCUCUCCAAUAAUGUGGAGUUAAUAACACGUAUAUGAAACAGAAUUAAGGCCGGGCUACUCAUCUUCCUUUUUAAAAAUACUCAUUGUUGAUGUUUCACUUUUGUCUUUGGAUUGCUUUUGCAACUGGCACUGAUAUUCUAACAGACACGUAUGUUUGAGAAUAAGAAGUGGAAGUGUAGGGCUUCUAUCGUUCAUGGAUAUACUUA